UACGUAGGUGGCAAGCGUUGUCCGGAAUUAUUGGGCGUAAAGCGCGCGCAGGCGGUCCUUUAAGUCUGAUGUGAAAGCCCACGGCUCAACCGUGGAGGGUCAUUGGAAACUGGGGGACUUGAGUGCAGAAGAGGAAAGCGGAAUUCCACGUGUAGCGGUGAAAUGCGUAGAGAUGUGGAGGAACACCAGUGGCGAAGGCGGCAUCCUGGACUGGUCCUGACACUCAGGAGCGAAAGCGUGGGGAGCGAUCCGG
rnacentral:rRNA from 1 species